AGUGAAUGCUGGCGGUAGGCCUAACAUAUGCAAGUCGAACGGCAGCACAGUAAGAGCUUGCUCUUACGGGUGGCGAGUGGCGGACGGGUGAGGAAUACAUCGGAAUCUACUUUUUCGUGGGGGAUAACGUAGGGAAACUUACGCUAAUACCGCAUACGACCUACGGGUGAAAGCAGGGGAUCUUCGGACCUUGCGCGAUUGAAUGAGCCGAUGUCGGAUUAGCUAGUUGGCGGGGUAAAGGCCCACCAAGGCGACGAUCCGUAGCUGGUCUGAGAGGAUGAUCAGCCACACUGGAACUGAGACACGGUCCAGACUCCUACGGGAGGCAGCAGUGGGGAAUAUUGGACAAUGGGCGCAAGCCUGAUCCAGCCAUACCGCGUGGGUGAAGAAGGCCUUCGGGUUGUAAAGCCCUUUUGUUGGGAAAGAAAAGCAGCAGGUUAAUACCCCGCUGUUCUGACGGUACCCAAAGAAUAAGCACCGGCUAACUUCGUG
rnacentral:rRNA from 1 species